ensembl:lncRNA
GAGCAACUAACACUUCACUUCAAGGAGUAAAGAAAGGAGAUCUCAGUUUAAGCAGGGCCUUCACUGGAAUUUUCAAGCAAGCUGCAGCCCAAACUCUUGAAAUAAUUAUGAUGGGAGGUUGUUCAAGAAAACUUGGCUCAAGGUCAUACAGACAUUGGCAUAAGGAACUUCACGAGCUUCUUGGAGACUAUUAUUUUCACUGGCAUCCUCGAUCAUCAGGCAAGGACGGCAGAACAAAGGGAUCAGUUACAUGGGAUUGAAUAAACUGCUAAAUAUGAUUACAAUUUUCAUAACUUUUUGUCUGACAUACUACUGGC